AACCCAUGGUGAGGGCACCGUCUCAAUAAGUCAUUAUACCUCUCCCAUGCAUUAUAUAACGUUUCUAAAACGAUUUGCACGAAGGAAGAGAUAUUAUUCUUCAACUU
rnacentral:snoRNA from 1 species